rnacentral:rRNA from 1 species
AUUGAACGCUGGCGGCAGCCCUAACACAUGCAAGUCGAGCGAGCGGCGGACGGGUGAGUAAUGUCUGGGAAACUGCCUGAUGGAGGGGGAUAACUACUGGAAACGGUAGCUAAUACCGCAUACCAUCAGAUGUGCCCAGAUGGGAUUAGCUAGUAGGUGGGGUAAUGGCUCACCUAGGCGACGAUCCCUAGCUGGUCUGAGAGGAUGACCAGCAACACUGGAACUGGUAAACGUGCCAGACUCAUACGGGAGGCAGCAGUGGGGAAUAUUGUACAAUGGGCGCAAGCCUGAUGCAGCCAUGCCGCGUGUUUGAAGAAGGCCGUCGGGUUGUAAAGCACUUUCAGCGGGGAGGCGUUACCCGCAGAAGAACCACCGGCUAACUCCGUGCCAGCAGCCGCGGUAAUUC